rnacentral:rRNA from 1 species
GCGAAAAGAACCCCUGUGAGGGGAGUGAAAUAGAUCCUGAAACCGCAUGCAUACAAGCAGUGGGAGCACCUUCGUGGUGUGACUGCGUACCUUUUGUAUAAUGGGUCAGCGACUUAUAUUCAGUAGCAAGGUUAACCGUAUAGGGGAGCCGUAGAGAAAUCGAGUCUUAAUAGGGCGUUUAGUUGCUGGGUAUAGACCCGAAACCAGGCGAUCUAUCCAUGAGCAGGUUGAAGGUUGGGUAACACUAACUGGAGGACCGAACCCACUGUCGUUGAAAAGCCAGGGGAUGACUUGUGGAUAGGGGUGAAAGGCUAAUCAAGCCUGGUGAUAGCUGGUUCUCCCCGAAAGCUAUUUAGGUAGCGCCUCGGACGAAUACCAUAGGGGGUAGAGCACUGUUUCGGCUAGGGGGUCAUCCCGACUUACCAAACCGAUGCAAACUCCGAAUACCUAUGAGUACUAUCCGGGAGACAGACUGCGGGUGCUAACGUCCGUAGUCAAGAGGAAAACAAUCCAGACCGCCAGCUAAGGCCCCAAAAUCAUAGUUAAGUGGGAAACGAUGUGGGAAGGCAUAGACAGCUAGGAGGUUGGCUUAGAAGCAGCCACCCUUUAAAGAAAGCGUAAUAGCUCACUAGUCGAGUCGGCCUGCGCGGAAGAUGUAACGGGGCUAAAACUAUGUGCCGAAGCUGCGGAUUUGACAUUAGUCAAGUGGUAGGGGAGCGUUCUGUAAGCCGAUGAAGGUGUAUUGAGAAGUAUGCUGGAGGUAUCAGAAGUGCGAAUGCUGACGUGAGUAACGACAAAACGGGUGAAAAACCCGUUCGCCGAAAGACCAAGGGUUCCAGUCCAACGUUAAUCGGGGCUGGGUGAGUCGACCCCUAAGG